rnacentral:rRNA from 1 species
UACAGAGGGUGCGAGCGUUAAUCGGAGUUACUGGGCGUAAAGGGCGCGUAGGCGGUUAUGUAAGUGAGAUGUGAAAUCCCUGGGCUUAACCUAGGAAUUGCAUUUUAGACUAGAUGACUGGAGUACAGUAGAGGGUAGCGGAAUUUCCGGUGUAGCGGUGAAAUGCGUAGAGAUCGGAAGGAACAUCAGUGGCGAAGGCGGCUACCUGGACUGACACUGACGCUGAGGCGCGAGAGCGUGGGGAGCAAACAGG